rnacentral:rRNA from 1 species
AUUGAACGCUGGCGGCAUGCCUUACACAUGCAAGUCGAACGGCAGCACGGGUGCUUGCACCUGGUGGCGAGUGGCGAACGGGUGAGUAAUACAUCGGAACGUACCAUAUCGUGGGGGAUAACGCAGCGAAAGCUGUGCUAAUACCGCAUACGCCCUGAGGGGGAAAGCGGGGGAUCGCAAGCACUCGCGCGAUUAGAGCGGCCGAUGCCUGAUUAGCUAGUUGGUGGGGUAAAAGCCCACCAAGGCGACGAUCAGUAGCUGGUCUGAGAGGACGAUCAGCCACACUGGGACUGAGACACGGCACAGACUCCUACGGGAGGCAGCAGUGGGGAAUUUUGGACAAUGGGGGCAACCCUGAUCCAGCAAUGCCGCGUGAGUGAAGAGGCCUUCGGGUUGUAAAGCUCUUUUGUCAGGGAAGAAACACCGGCUCUAACACAGUCCGGGAAUGACGGUACCUGAAGAAUAAGCACCGGCUAACUACGUGCCAGCCGCCGCGGUAA